rnacentral:sRNA from 1 species
CCCAGGGCGCAAGCCCUGGGCUAUUGGCUGACGCCCCUUCGGGGCU